rnacentral:misc_RNA from 1 species
CUAAAAGGCAAUAUUAUUGUAAUAAUGUUAUUUAAAUUUGAUACAUUGUAAAUUUAAAAAUAAAUAUGUAAAUUUCUCCCACUUUACAUAUAAAUUUUUAAAUUCAUAAUAAAUUAAAUUUACAUAAGAAUUUACUUGCAGUUAUGCAUAAAAUGACAAUUAUAAACUUCCGAAGAGGAAGUCGGUGGUCAAUUCAGAAGACCUGGGAAAAGGAGGCCUCCUUACCAUGGUAGCUUGUUCAAAAGCAUAAGCAAGCUCAAUGAGCUUCGGCUCAGUACCCUUAAGCCCACCAAAACAGACCCCAAAUGGCAUUCCAUUGCCAUCAUACCCAGCAGGGACUGUAAUUCCAGGAUAUCCCUCAAUUGCCAACACUGAGACUGCACCUGUACCAGGUGUCACCAUAGCAUCUAAAUCAUUUUCCAUCAUCAGCUUCUCAAAUCCAUCUUUUGAGAGUUUUUCCAUCAUCUCUAUUGCCUUAUUCUCUUUCUUUCCAAUGCCAUUUGUUCUCUCUGCUGCCAGGAACGUGUUCUGACCAUGCUCUUUGGUUUUCUCAAUAUCAGGGUUAUUUUCAUUGAAAGCAAUAACUUCGGCAAGUGUCCUCACUGGAGAUGUGAUAAGCUCUUUCAGGUAAUCAUUCAAAUAGAGCUUGAACUCAGCCAACAUCAGUGUCAGCUCACCACUUUGUUUUGGGUUAAGAAUUGUAUCAAUGUCUGUUAUCUCAAGAUUGUCCACUAUAGUGGCACCGCUUUUCCUAGAAUUUUCAAGAUUAAAUGCACAUCAUAUAUAUAAGCUAGGCCUCAAAUGCCAUGCAUAAACGAUUAAUCUUUCUAGGCAAACUACAAGGAGUUGGCUCAUUUGUCCAAAGCCAUUAUACCUUAGUGUGCUCAGAUGAUGCUCAAAAGCAGAAAUUAUGGAUUCAUUUAACAAGUUCAAAAAUGGUUUUCUAACAAUCCCCAGUCUCUUCCCUUUAAGCCCAUUUAGGUUGAGGAAUUGCUUGUAACCACCGGCAGGUACAAACUUGGCUGCUUCACUGGUUGCUUCAGAAUCUCUUGGAUCAAAACCAACAAUUACAUCCAGCAAGUAAACUGCAUCAGAGACUGUCCUGGUAAUUGGCCCAAUGGUAUCACGGCUCAGCAUAACUGGAAUGACACCAGCACGGCUAGUGAGACCAACAGUGGGUUUGAAACCUACAACGGAGUUGUGAUCAGAGGGACAGAUGAUGGAGCCAUGAGUUUCAGUUCCAAGUGAUACUGCCACCAUAUUUGCUGCUACAGAAAUUGCUGAUCCACUGCUUGAGCCACAUGGGUCCCCAGUUGGGUAGUAUGGAUUCACUCCUUGUCCGGCUCUAGCACACCAGCCAUUGGGAAUAUGGCCCAAAGAACGAAAAUUAUACCACUCGCUGAGGCUAGCUUUUCCAAGUAUCACCGCUCCCGCUCUUCUCAACCUCUCCACCACCGUCGCAUCCCGAGGAACCACCGAUCCCAACAAAGCGUACGACCCCGCCGUCGUGUUCAUUUUAUCCUUAGUGGCAAAUGUGUCCUUAAGCAGCACCGGAAUUCCAUGCAAGUCUCCCAAUGAUCUACCGCCUUGAUUGUUUCUCCUUUCCUCAUCGGCCUUUUGAGCUUGAUACUGGGCAUCAGGGUUGACUUCUAUUACGCUGCGAAGCAGGGGAUUUAGCGUUUUGAUUUGGGUUAUGUAGAAGUCCACCAAUUGUGUUGCUGUGAGCUUGUUUUGGGUGAAGGCCUGUUGAAUGUCGUAAAUGGUUGCUUCUUCGAUGGUGAAUGCUUUGCUGUUGAUGGUGAGCAAAAGUGAGAUGAACAGUGGGACAAGGAGAGAACCUAGAUGGUUGACCCCGACCGCCAUUUCUUUUGGUUUGUCUUUUCCUUCCUUCUUUAUCGUAUCUUCUGAAGCAAUGUAGGCUGGAGCAGGC